CAACAGUUCACACAUCUGAAGUAAAUGCUGGCUGUGUAUCUUGGAUCUUGCUGAAGGUUGUGGAGAGUAUGGGUGAAGUUUGAGCAAAAAUUGUCCCCACCCAGGGCAUGAAGACAAGGGACUGAUUCCAGUGCUAUUUUACUUUCUUGCUUUUCUGGAGAUGAAUGAAAAACAAAAAUAACUUCCUUUUUCAGUGUCCUAGUAACUGUAACGAAAAAGCCAAGCAUUCACGGCUGAAUGAACGCAUGAGCAGUAGUUCCUUUACAAGAGAAAGAAAAUUCAGUCAGGCAUGACUGCCACGGUCUCCUUACUAUGCUUACAGAAUGUCCUGGGCAGACACCAUGUAUUCUGAUUGCUAAACCAGACUGAAGCUGAAGCAGUGCGGGUAUGAGAGUUUCCACAGGAAAAAGUACAAAACCAUUACACAGGAUGCCACAGAAGCCAUGUGGAGUGAAGGAAAUGCAAGCUCGAGAGUCAGGUCUUUGAAGGUCUGAGCACCUGCUGUUCAGCAUAACCGAGACGGUAUGUCAUAUUUCACACAUAGAAAAUGAUCAAAUGGCAGAUGGAUAUCUUUUCUAAAGAAACUGACAACACAACCUUUUCAGACAGAGAAACAGGAUAUAUGGAUCUUUGUUUUCUAAACUAAGAACAGCAGACACGGAUGGCAUAGAAGUUACCAGUAACCAAUGUACAAACUGUACAUGAAGUCAAUGAUGAAUGAACUUUAAAAUCAUGUGUCCAUUUCUGGCACUCUUAGAUAUGAAGACAAUAAUUUAGCAUCUUCAUUUUCAAGUCUACCAAAGCUUUUCAUGAAGUGCUAGGACAUUCUUAUCCUCUGUUCCCCUUCCUUCAAUCUAUUUUUAAUUACCUUGUUUGGGAGAAAUUAUUGAAUUUGUUUAUGUAACACAAAAGAGGAACCUCACAAUUAAAAAAUUAAAUCUUCCCUAACAUUAUAAUACUAUUGUAGAGACUGGAAGGAUGAAUUGCCUUGAUUGUCCAUUUUAUUUCCCUAAACACAGAGAGGUAUGGAAUUACAAAUACCAAAUAAUUUUUAUCAAUCCCUAAAAAAGCUGGUGGGUUAGUCAUAUCUAUUAUUUGAAAGUCAUAAUCUACAAAUGCACAUAUGCCCUGAAAUUUCUAUAGAUUAGACUAUGUACUUCUUUUUGAUAGGUAGAAUAGAAGAGUCAUUAAAAGGAUGGCCCCUGGAAUCAUACAUAUGUGCUACCAAAUAAUACAUUUACAGUUUAACCUCUCUGCAUCUCAGUUUAUUCAGCUGAUACAGGGGCAUAAUAAUAAUACCUUCCAUCAAGAAUUGUUUUGAAGACUAGAUAAGAUAGGGAAAUAAUUAUGUUCUCCCCUGCUUCAAUCCCUUCAAUGACUUCCCAUCCCCAAACCCAGACAUGACCUAUAAGGCUCCACAUAAUGUACCCGCCUGUCCUUCCAAAUUCAUCUUGUUCUACUUUAUUCACUAUCUGACUGAAAGACCUUCUUUCAGUUCCUCACAAGUUCCUGGUUUUUGCUGCCUCUGAGGUUUUACAAAUGCUCUUCUUUGCCUGGAACAUAUCUCUGUCCUCCCACAAGCACACAAAGCACACAGAGCUCACUCCCACCCAACCUUUACUUCUCAGUUUAAACAUCACUUGUUUAAAGAGAACUCUUCUGAUUUACCAGUCAAAACCCAUUCUUACCCUUUAUUGUUCUCAUGCAUAGAAUCUUGUUCAUUCCUAAUACCAGAAGCAUUGGGGUACUGUAGGGGUGCUAGCUGGCAUGCCCCCUUUAAAACCACAUGUCCUUGAGGCUCCUUGUCAGGGCUAUGUGCCAGCACUCAUGUUGAUAAUAGUCCUGGGCUUGGCCAACACAGCUGCUUUCUCAUGGGAGAGUUAACAGAGACCCUCAUGGUCUGAGGGAACACGGAGGCCCUCUGGGGUGGGGGAUGCCUCUGAUCCUUUGAAUGCAGGUCAUACAGGACAGUCCCCCUUGGCAAGCAUGCAGGCCUUGUUCUUCUGCCUACUUAAGCAAGCUUCUCUCAGGGAGCGAUAGUGGAUGCACAUCACCUGUCCAGCCAGCCGCCACUGGACCUUCCCUGUAAGUAACUCCCCAGUAAAGCCAUAUGUCUUGUUCACUGUCUCCAGGUUGUUGGUCUCUUGGCAACCUAGUCCACUUUGCUCACUCAGCUGGGCGUGUGGCGGAACAGGUACCUUGUUUGAAAUGAAUGAAAAGAUAGACAGAAAUCAGGCAGAUGAGGAACCAAAUGUUACUUUUAUUACUUUUAAACAACACGUCAGGCUCUGGAAGUUAUGGAUAAAUUCAAACCUCCCAUAGGCCUUACAGCUUGGAAGAGCAAGACAGAAUUCUGGCUCCCUGUGAGAAAGAGGAGAUGAAGGAGCAAGGCUCCUAAGGCUAGUUCCUCCUUCCAAAUACACAGAAUAAAUCACUUACUACACCAUCACAGGGCAGCAUGUGUGGACAGAGGGGCAUGGGGGCAAAGAGAGGCCAGGAGGGUUAGCAACUCCUCUGCAUGAAGGAAAGGUCGGGAGCAGGGGAAAAGCAUUUCCUCCAUUCUCAAUUAAAAUGUAUUAAUUUGAAUCAUAUGCAGUGACCAUUUUUGAGGUUAAAUAUAGACAAAUAGCAAAUUCAUAUGGUUUAAACAUAAUCAUACAUAUGUAUGUCAUAUACACAUGUAAAUAUACAAAUGUAUAUGUAUGAAAGCAUAGAUAUACUAUGUAGUAUAUCUUAUAUAUUUAUCUCUGUAUAUGUAUAUUAUACAUAUAGUAUAUUCUUACUAUAUGUUAUAUAUAUAUCUCUAUAUGUGUGUAUAAUAACAUAUACGCCUGCCAUAUAUAUAUAUAUAUAUAUGUAUGUGAUUAUUUGGGUAAUAUUUGCCUCUGUUAUCAUACUGUAAGCUCCAAAAAGAUAGUGAAGUAUGUCUACUUUGUUUAUCUCUGCAUCUCUGUGACUCAUCACAUCUGACAAUACCUACAAAAAUUAAUUGAAUGAAUAAUAGCUGCAAAGUGUUUAACAGGUUAUUUGACUUAUUUUAAGAGCUCAGUAGAUGUUAGCUAUGAUGAUCAUGCUGCUGCUGCUUCUGCUGAUAAAACAUUUUUAAUAUGUUUGGUAUCAACUUUUGAUCUGGACUGUAUAUUCUAAGAUUUCCAUUUCAGAAAUCUACCAGCUUGCCUCAAGGGUCACACUUACAGCUUGUCUUUUCACUGAUCAUAAUUUCAGGCAACAUCCCACAGUUCAAUCUCCACAGCUCCUACGUUAUAACCUCACAGAGAAACAGGGUGAGUAGAUGCAAUAGCAAACUAGAGAGUGUACAUCCGGUCCAAAAAGCGCAGCCAGUUUUCCAAUCUGUGAAGACCUGCUUUGUGGGACUGCGAGUUCAGUGUUACCAGACAUUGUGAUUUUUCAAGAGAAACUUAAAAUUCAUAUUGUAAUGUAAAAUCUUCUAAAUCUGGGAAACUAAUUAAAAAUUGCUGAGGUCUAUGUGGUCUGAAAGAUACUUGGACUUCGUGCUGCCCCGGGGGCAGCUAGUUUGUGACCUCUGCUUCUAUGCAAUUGUCUUGUGGUAUGAGGUGUUAUCAAUCCUCUUCUUGUUUUUCAUUUAUCUCUUACUCUGAUAUUAUUCUGUGCUUUCAAACAAGUUUUUCAACAAUUUCAUUUCAUUGCUUUAUAAGGGAUCUAUUUAUAGCUGUUGCUUUUGUAUCUCUAUCUCUCUAUCUUUUGUUUCUCUAAAUCCCUUCCCCUUUCUUUUUUAGAUGUUAGAAGAGCUUUCGAAGUCAAUUAUCUAUUAUAAAGGUAGCAUUUUGAGCAAAAAGGAAAAAAGUGGAGCUAUA
ensembl:lncRNA